CCACGCCAGGGAGGGAUGCGGUCUCCGCCUCGGCGAGUCAGCGCCAGGGGUGCAGGGGUGCCCCUCUCGCCCCCGGAGACCGGGAGCCUGCGUCAGCUGCCGAGCUGCAGCCCCGCGCCUAGGGCACAGCGGACAUUGCUCGCGCCAUCAGGGCGGCGCUCAGCAUCUCUGGGCUGGCAGUGCCUCGUGCCCUGGCUCUGCCAGUCUGGCAAGGGGCGCUGGGGCAAAAGGGGAGCCCAGAAGGAAAGCUGAAUCCUAAACUGGUGCAGGAGAAUCCACUAAGUGACCCAGAAGUGAUCAGGAAGGUGCUAUUUGCAUUUCCAAAGCUAUUGCUAUCUGCUGCAGAAUUUAUGCACCAGCUUCUCAAAAACAAAAAAUGGAUCUGAAAGUAAAGUCAAAAUGCCCAGUUCUCCACUGUCUUGAACUUAGGUGUUUGUUCUCAUUUGUUAAGACUUAAUGUAAAAUUAUAGUGAUUCAGGAAUGCGUUACUCCUCUUUUAUACCCACUUUACACUGGUAUAAAUAGCUAAAUGGAGAUCAGACCUACUAAUACAACAUUCACUUUAAAAAUGGUAUAUAUUUUCUGUAUACAAUAAUCUUUUAGAACUCUUUCUAUUUUGAAUCAGGUCCUUCACUGGAGAUUUGUAAUAGAUUUACAGAGUUUUUUAAUAACAAUAAAUAGUGUUUUUCACUCUUAACAUUUUCUCUUCAUUAUAUAGUUGGUCCUCUGAAUGUUCCUUGUUUUCACAUAAAGAAUAUUAAAGCAUGAAAAUAUUUGUAUUACCUUCAGAAGUCUUGUUUUCCUCAACUGCUGCUUUAUCGGUUGUCUUGAAUUCAUCAAAAGGUAGACAAGUCCAAAUAUCAACCUAUUCCUUUAUCUGGUGUCUUAAUAUUCUUCAUUAAGAAAAGAUUUCAAGGAACAUAUGCCAGUUCUUGACAUUUCUAUCAUCUUAAUACAAGUGUUGGCAGUUUUAUCCUAAUCAGAUAUUCAAAGCCUUUUCUAAGUUCUACCUUUGUGUUUUCUUCAUCAGAUUCUGCUGAAUUACUUGUUAUUCUCCCAGUCAGUUUUGCCUGUGCAAUUAUUUCCUUUAUCAGAAAACCAGUAAAAGGCAGCUUAUACAAUUCUCAUAUUGUAGCUUUCUUGAUAUCAUGAUACCAAAGCAGCAUGGUGAGAUAUACUAUUAUUGACAAAACAAGAAAGGAAAUACUGUAUCUACUCAAAUCCAAGGCAAGAGUCUUUUUCCCCAUUCAACAUCCAAGGGUCUUGGAUUUGAGUUUGGGAGGGCAGGAAGAUAGGCAGUGGAUGGAGCUCCAGCUCUGGCCCUAGCCCCAACCCCAACCCAGUCUUGGGAGUUUGAGCAGCAGCUUCCACCCUACCCUUUCCCCCUGCCAGCC